rnacentral:rRNA from 1 species
GAUGAACGCUGGCGGCGUGCCUAAUACAUGCAAGUCGAGCGAACAGACGAGGAGCUUGCUCCUCUGACGUUAGCGGCGGACGGGUGAGUAACACGUGGAUAACCUACCUAUAAGACUGGGAUAACUUCGGGAAACCGGAGCUAAUACCGGAUAAUAUAUUAAACCGCAUGGUUCAUUAUUGAAAGACGGUUUUCCUUUCCCUUAAAGAUGGAUCCGCGCCGCAUUAGCUAGUUGGUAAGGUAACGGCUUACCAAGGCAACGAUGCGUAGCCGACCUGAGAGGGUGAUCGGCCACACUGGAACUGAGACACGGUCCAGACUCCCACGGGAGGCAGCAGUAGGGAAUCUUCCGCAAUGGGCGAAAGCCUGACGGAGCAACGCCGCGUGAGUGAUGAAGGUCUUCGGAUCGUAAAACUCUGUUAUUAGGGAAGAACAAAUGUGUAAGUAACUAUGCACGUCUUGACGGUACCUAAUCAGAAAGCCACGGCUAACUACGUG